UGUGGUUCCCCGAAGAAAAGAGCUAUAUCUUCUCUCGUCUUAGAUUUUUUUUCUUUCCUGUAGUAGAAGGAAUUAUAUGAAGAAGUUAUAGUAGUGAUAUACUUCCAAUUUUUUAGAUAUCUGGAUAACUUAUAAAUGUAUUUAGUGCAGUUAAGUGAGGCUUAUAGUUUUAAGGCUAUAAGUAAAUAGAACUUUCUUUCUUUCUUCUUUUUGGUGGUUUAAUUUCUUCCAUUUAUAUAAACACUAUAUAAUUUAUCAAAAAUUGUGUCAUUAGGAAUAAGUUAAUAUAAUCUACCUCUAUAUUGUAUAUUUAAUGUUUAAAUAAGUAUUUAUAUAAAUUUAUAUUAAGGAACUCGGCAAUUACUCUUAUAAACUGUUUAACAAAAACAUAGCCUUUUGUUUAUAUUUAAAAGGUGUAUUCUGCCCAGUGUAGAGUUAUAUCCUCUAUUAACGGCCGCAGUACUCUGACUGUGCUAAGGUAGCAUAAUAAAUUGGCUUUUAAUUGAAGUCUGGAAUCAAAGAAAUUAUUAUAAGAAACUGUCUUAAUUUAAGUUUUGAGAAUUUAAUAAAUAAGGUGAAAACCCCUUUGUAUAUCUAUUAGACAAGAAGACCCUUAGAGCUUUCUAAUUUUGUUGGGGCGACAGAAUGGCAGUAAACCCAUUUUUAAAUACAUUAGUUUUAUUUAACAUUUAAAUUAUAGGGCAAGCGUUAUUUAGAAAAAUCAAGCUACCUAAGGGAUAACAGCAUAAUAAUUUAUAUUGCUUAUGACCUCGAUGUUGGAUUAGGAUAAUAUACUAUUAGCCAUAGUGUGUUUUAGUUCUGUUCGAACAAAUUUUACUCCUACAUGAUCUGAGUUCAGACCGGCGUAAGCCAGGUCAGUU
rnacentral:rRNA from 1 species